AACGAACGUUAGCGGCGCGCCUAACACAUGCAAGUCGAACGCGACUGGGGGCAACUCCAGUUGAGUGGCGCACGGGUGAGUAACACGUAGGUAAUCUUCCCCCGAGUGGUGGAUAACCCUCCGAAAGGAGAGCUAAUACAGCAUGAGACCACGGCUUCGAAAGGAGCUGAGGUCAAAGCGGAGGAUCGCAAGACUUCGCGCUUGGGGAUGAGCCUGCGGCCCAUCAGGAGUUGGCGGGGUAAUGGCCCACCAAGCCAUAGACGGGUAGCUGGUCUGAGAGGAUGAUCAGCCACACUGGAACUGAGACACGGUCCAGACUCCUACGGGAGGCAGCAGUGGGAAUCUUGCGCAAUGGACGAAAGUCUGACGCAGCGACGCCGCGUGGGUGAU
rnacentral:rRNA from 1 species